GUCAACAUCGCCAUGAGCUCACAUCGACGGAAAGGUUUGGCACCUCGAUGUCGGCUCUUCGCCACCUGGGGCUGUAGUAUGUUCCAAGGGUUGGGCUGUUCGCCCAUUAAAGUGGUACGUGAGCUGGGUUCAGAACGUCGUAAGACAGUUC
rfam:Lupinus angustifolius cultivar Tanjil chromosome LG04, whole genome shotgun sequence.